rfam:Oryza rufipogon genomic scaffold, chr06
AAUAAAUGCAGUUUUGCACUAUUCACGUUCAAUAUUUGACCGUUCGUCUUAUUUGAAAAUUUUUUAUGAUUAGUAUUUUUAUUGCUAUUAGAUGAUAAAACAUGAAUAGUACUUUAUGUGUGACUAAAUAUUUUUAAAUAUUUUAAUUUUUCACAAACUUUUCAAAUAAGACGGACGGUCAAACGUUGGGCACGGAUAUCUACGGCUGCACUUAUU